GGGGUUGUAGCUCAGUGGUAGAGCGCUCGCCUAGCAUGUGCGAGGCCCUGGGUUUGAUCCUCAGCACCACA
rnacentral:tRNA from 1 species